UACGAAGGGGGCUAGCGUUGCUCGGAAUCACUGGGCGUAAAGGGUGCGUAGGCGGGUCUUUAAGUCAGGGUGAAUCCUGGAGCUCAACUCCAGAACUGCCUUUGAUACUGAAGAUCUUGAGUUCGGGAGAGGUGAGUGGAACUGCGAGUGUAGAGGUGAAAUUCGUAGAUAUUCGCAAGAACACCAGUGGCGAAGGCGGCUCACUGGCCCGAUACUGACACUGAGGCACGAAAGCGUGGGAGCCAAAC
rnacentral:rRNA from 1 species